UGGGGAAUAUUGGACAAUGGGCGAAAGCCUGAUCCAGCAACGCCGCGUGAGGGAUGACGGCCUUCGGGUUGUAAACCUCUUUCAGUAGGGACGAAGCUAACGUGACGGUACCUACAGAAGAAGCACCGGCCAACUACGUGCCAGCAGCCGCGGUAAUACGUAGGGUGCGAGCGUUGUCCGGAAUUAUUGGGCGUAAAGGGCUCGUAGGCGGUUUGUCACGUCGGGAGUGAAAACUCGGGGCUUAACUCCGAGCCUGCUUCCGAUACGGGCUGACUAGAGGUAUGCAGGGGGAGAACGGAAUUCCUGGUGUAGCGGUGAAAUGCGCAGAUAUCAGGAGGAACACCGGUGGCGAAGGCGGUUCUCUGGGCAUUACCUGACGCUGAGGAGUGAAAGUGUGGGGAGCGAACAGGAUUAGAUACCCUGGUAGUCCACACCGUAAACGUUGGGCGCGUAGGU
rnacentral:rRNA from 1 species